rnacentral:rRNA from 1 species
UACGUAGGGGGCAAGCGUUGUCCGGAUUUAUUGGGCGUAAAGCGCGCGUAGGCGGUUCGUACAGUCAGACGUGAAAUUCCUGGGCUCAACCUGGGGGCUGCGUUUGAUACGUGCGGACUUGAGUGCGGAAGAGGGUCGUGGAAUUCCCAGUGUAGAGGUGAAAUUCGUAGAUAUUGGGAAGAACACCGGUGGCGAAGGCGGCGACCUGGUCCGAUACUGACGCUGAGGCGCGAAAGCGUGGGGAGCAAACAGG